UGAGCUGAGAGACAUAACCCC
rnacentral:miRNA from 1 species